rnacentral:rRNA from 1 species
GAUCAUGGCUCAGGAUGAACGCUGGCGGCGUGCUUAACACAUGCAAGUCGAGCGAGAAACUACAUGCAGACACUUCGGUAGAAGCGAGUAGCGGAAAGCGGCGGACGGGUGAGUAACGCGUAGGCAACCUGCCCUUCACAGAGGUAUAGCCUCGGGAAACCGGGAUUAAAACCACAUAAAAUCAUAGGUUCGCAUGAACCAAAGGUCAAAGAUUUAUCGGUGAAGGAUGGG